rnacentral:rRNA from 1 species
GACGAACGCUGGCGGCGUGCUUAACACAUGCAAGUCGAACGGUAAGGCCCUCCGGGGUACACGAGUGGCGAACGGGUGAGUAACACGUGGGUCAUCUGCCCUGCACUUCGGGAUAAGGCUGGGAAACUGGGUGUAAUACCGGAUUGGACCACUGCCUGCAUGGGUGGGGGUGGAAAGCUUUUGCGGUGUGGGAUGGGCCCGCGGCCUAUCAGCUUGUUGGUGGGGUGAUGGCCUACCAAGGCGACGACGGGUAGCCGGCCUGAGAGGGUGACCGGCCACACUGGGACUGAGAUACGGCCCAGACUCCUACGGGAGGCAGCAGUGGGGAAUAUUGCACAAUGGGCGCAAGCCUGAUGCAGCGACGCCGCGUGAGGGAUGACGGCCUUCGGGUUGUAAACCUCUUUCAGCACCGACGAAGCGCAAGUGACGGUAGGUGCAGAAGAAGGACCGGCCAACUACGUGCCAGCCGCCGCAGUAACAC